UACGUAGGGUCCGAGCGUUGUCCGGAGUGACUGGGCGUAAAGCGCGCGCAGGCGGCCUGUUAGGCACGACGUGAAAGCCCCGGGCUCAACCCGGGAGGGUCGUCGUGAACCGGCGGGCUUGAGGCCGGUAGAGGUGGGUGGAACUCCUGGUGGAGUGGUGAAAUGCGUAGAGAUCAGGAAGAACACCCGUGGCGAAGGCGGCCCACUGGGCCGGUACUGACGCUGAGGCGCGAAGGCGUGGGGAGCGAACAGG
rnacentral:rRNA from 1 species